rnacentral:rRNA from 1 species
GAUGAACGCUGGCGGCGUGCCUAAUACAUGCAAGUCGAGCGAACAGACGAGGAGCUUGCUCCUCUGACGUUAGCGGCGGACGGGUGAGUAACACGUGGAUAACCUACCUAUAAGACUGGGAUAACUUCGGGAAACCGGAGCUAAUACCGGAUAAUAUAUUGAACCGCAGGGUUCAAUAGUGAAAGACGGUUUUGCUGUCACUUAUAGAUGGAUCCGCGCCGCAUUAGCUAGUUGGUAAGGUAACGGCUUACCAAGGCGACGAUGCGUAGCCGACCUGAGAGGGUGAUCAGCCACACUGGAACUGAGACACGGUCCAGACUCCUACGGGAGGCAGCAGUAGGGAAUCUUCCGCAAUGGGCGAAAGCCUGACCGAGCAACGCCGCGUGAGUGAUGAAGGUCUUCGGAUCGUAAAACUCUUUUAUUAGGGAAGAACAAAUGUGUAAGUAACUAUGCACGUCUUGACGGUACCUAAUCAGAAAGCCACGGCUAACUACGUG